GUACACUCCUGCGGGAGGCAGCAGUGGGGAAUUUUGGACAAUGGGCGAAAGCCUGAUCCAGCAAUGCCGCGUGAGUGAAGAAGGCCUUCGGGUUGUAAAGCUCUUUUGUCAGGGAAGAAACGGUGAGAGCUAAUAUCUUUUGCUAAUGACGGUACCUGAAGAAUAAGCACCGGCUAACUACGUGCCAGCAGCCGCGGUAAUACGUAGGGUGCAAGCGUUAAUCGGAAUUACUGGGCGUAAAGCGUGCGCAGGCGGUUUUGUAAGUCUGAUGUGAAAUCCCCGGGCUCAACCUGGGAAUUGCAUUGGAGACUGCAAGGCUAGAAUCUGGCAGAGGGGGGUAGAAUUCCACGUGUAGCAGUGAAAUGCGUAGAUAUGUGGAGGAACACCGAUGGCGAAGGCAGCCCCCUGGGUCAAGAUUGACGCUCAUGCACGAAAGCGUGGGGAGCAAACAGGAUUAGAUACCCCGGUAGUCCCA
rnacentral:rRNA from 1 species